rnacentral:rRNA from 1 species
GACGAACGCUGGCGGCGUGCCUAAUACAUGCAAGUCGAACGAACCGCGACUAAGUGCCUGCCCUAAGUCAAGGUGAGUGGCGAACGGGUGAGUAACACGUGGGUAACCUACCUCAUAGUGGGGGAUAACAGUCGGAAACGACUGCUAAUACCGCAUAGGACAUAGGAUCACAUGAUCCAGUGAGGAAAGGUGGCGCAAGCUAUCGCUAAGAGAUGGACCCGCGGUGCAUUAGCUAGUUGGUAGGGUAAAGGCCUACCAAGGCGAUGAUGCAUAGCCGACCUGAGAGGGUGAUCGGCCACAUUGGGACUGAGACACGGCCCAAACUCCUACGGGAGGCAGCAGUAGGGAAUCUUCCGCAAUGGACGCAAGUCUGACGGAGCAACGCCGCGUGAGUGAAGAAGGUCUUCGGAUCGUAAAGCUCUGUUGUUAGAGAAGAACAGCGCAUAGAGUAACUGCUAUGCGUGUGACGGUAUCUAACCAGAAAGCCACGGCUAACUACGUG